rnacentral:tRNA from 1 species
AGUGGUGUGGCCUAGUGGAAAAAGCCUGGCCUUGGGAGUCAGAAAACCUGGGUUCUGAUCCCACCUCCUCCA